UACGAAGGGGGCUAGCGUUGUUCGGAAUUACUGGGCGUAAAGCGCGCGCAGGCGGUUCUUCAAGUCAGAGGUGAAAGCCCCGGGCUCAACCUGGGAACCGCGCUUGAGACUGGCACGCUAGAGUUCGGGAGAGGAUGGUGGAAUUCCCAGUGUAGAGGUGAAAUUCGUAGAUAUUGGGAAGAACAUCGAUGGCGAAGGCAGCCAUCUGGACCGACACUGACGCUGAGGCGCGAAAGCGUGGGGAGCAAACAGG
rnacentral:rRNA from 1 species